GCAUGAAGUCGGAAUUGCUAGUAAUCGCGGAUCAGCAUGCCGCGGUGAAUACGUUCCCGGGCCUUGUACACACCGCCCGUCAAACCAUGAGAGCUGGAAACACCCGAAGCUGGUAGCCUAACCGUAAGGAGGGCGCCAUUGAAGGUGGGGCUAGUGAUUAGGGUUAAGUCGUAACAAGGUAGC
rnacentral:rRNA from 1 species